ensembl:miRNA MIR8070 microRNA 8070
ACUUGAUCCCAUGUGAUUGACGGCUGACUCCAUGUGAGUGAAGCCUGAUCAUCAUGUGAGUGAAGCCUGAUCAUCAUGUGAGUGAAGC